rnacentral:lncRNA from 1 species
AUGACAGGCAACAGGCCAUGGAAUGUGUGGUUUAAAUGCUGUAUCAAUGACAAAGCUGAGUUAGAAGUUAUUGCUGUGCUCCUAUGUGGCCUUCUUCCUCCUGCCAGGCACAGAUGGGACAAGGAAGGCUAUACAUCAGCCUGGAAGAUCAUGGAAGGCAGGAGGUACUGCUGUGAGGGAUUCGGAGACCAGAUGGGGAAGGCAAAGCAGUCAACAGUCUGCAACUCUCUUCCAGAAGACACCAAGCUAAUGCAGUCAAAGACUGCACACUCCAAGAUCUGUUCCUGCGAAUCUCUGGAUAAUUUCCAGUGCCGAUUCAAACCAUCAAGAUGUGAUCCCAUUCUGGUACCAAGAGAGGAGAA